rnacentral:rRNA from 1 species
UACGUAGGGACCAAGCGUUGUUCGGAUUUACUGGGCGUAAAGGGCGCGUAGGCGGCGCGGUAAGUCACUUGUGAAAUCUCUGAGCUUAACUCAGAACGGCCAAGUGAUACUGCAGUGCUAGAGUGUGGAAGGGCAAUCGGAAUUCUUGGUGUAGCGGUGAAAUGCGUAGAUAUCAAGAGGAACACCUGAGGUGAAGACGGGUUGCUGGGCCAACACGUGACGCUGGAGGCGACGAAAGCCAGGGAGCAAACGGG